AGAGUUUGAUCCUGGCUCAGAUUGAACGCUGGCGGCAUGCCUUACACAUGCAAGUCGAACGGUAACAGGGAGCUUGCUCCGCUGACGAGUGGCGAACGGGUGAUAAAAUAUCGGAACGUGCCUGGUAGUGGGGGACAACUAUCGAAAGAUAGCUAUACCGCAUACGCCCUACGGGGGAAAGAGGGGGAUUCGCAGACCUCUUGUUUCAAGCGGCGAUUCUGUUAGUAGUU
rnacentral:rRNA from 1 species